AACGAACGCUGGCGGCAUGCCUAACACAUGCAAGUCGAACGAGACCUUCGGGUCUAGUGGCGCACGGGUGCGUAACGCGUGGGAACCUGCCCUUAGGUUCGGAAUAACUCCCCGAAAGGGGUGCUAAUACCGGAUAAUGUCUUCGGACCAAAGAUUUAUCGCCUUUGGAUGGGCCCGCGUUGGAUUAGCUAGUUGGUAGGGUAAAAGCCUACCAAGGCGACGAUCCAUAGCUGGUCUGAGAGGAUGAUCAGCCACACUGGGACUGAGACACGGCCCAGACUCUAACGGAAGGCAGCAGUGGGAAAAAUUGGACAAUGGGCGAAAGCCUGACCCAGCAAUGCCGCUGGAGUGAUGAAGGCCUUAGGUUUGUAAAGCUCUUUUACCCGGAUGAUAAUGACAGUACCGGGAGAAUAAGCUCCGGCUAACUCCGUG
rnacentral:rRNA from 1 species